UUUGCGAAACAUUGUCAAAUUUUAUCAUGUUUGUGAAAAAAAGCCACCACUUGAUAAAGUAUACUUCACCAGCAAGGAACUAGGCUUUGAAGGUGUGGAACUAAUUGUACUUAAUAUCCUCAAUUAUGAGGAAUUCACUGCAGAUUAAGUUCAGCUAAUUCAAUAUCAUUUUAUUACCAUGGUGAGAAGAAGCAGGAUCAAAAAUAGAAUUGCCAUAGUCACUCUAAUUUUGGGACUGGCUGUAGUUUAUAACGAAUUAAUUGCUUAUGAAGUUGAAAGUUUGCACUGGGCUUUUUACAAAUGUGUAGACUGCACCAGAGUAUUAUUUGUAGCAGACCCACAGAUUUUAGGGGUACAGAAUGAAAAAUAUUUUGGUGCAUCCUUGGCUAUAUGGGAUAGCGACAGUUACUUGAAAAAAACAUUUUCAAGAGCUCUCAAGCAUUCCAGGCCACAUGUAAUAGUCUUUCUUGGGGAUUUGAUGGACGAAGGUCAUAUUGCGCCCACCGAAGAUUUCGAGUUGUAUAAACAGAGAUUUGAUGACAUAUUUCAAACACCGGACCAUGUGAUGAAAAUUUAUAUACCCGGAGACAAUGAUAUUGGUGGUGAAGAAGACAUGGUAUCGUCCCAUAUUAAUGAGAGGUUUGAAUUCACCUAUAGUCAGCCUGAUACCUUGACUUACAAGAGUUCAAAUUUUUUCAAGGUGAACAGACUGACCCAUUUGAUUCCUCAAGCACCAAAUGAUGCAUUUCUGAAUGAUUAUACUGAAAGGAAUACUACCAAUAUUGUUCUAAGCCACAUGCCGCUCUUGUUUUCGCCAGGCAGUUUUGUCCAAAAUGUGGUUAAGAAAUUAUCACCGCAGCUGAUUUUUACUGCCCAUGAUCAUAAAGCGAUGCAUACGAGCUUGGAUACAGCUACCGACCAACUAAGUGAUAUCCGAAUUCUACCACCACAUGAAAAUCGGUUGUAUCAAUUACGGCUGGAUGUGGGGACUAUUCAUGAAAUUCAAAUACCAACAUGUUCAUAUCGGAUGGGAACACCUUAUGUUGGUUAUGGAUUGGUUUAUGUUGAUACACAGGAUAAAACUGUGGAAUUCACAGUACUGUGGCAGCCAAAUCGUUUUGUGCAACUACGGAUUUACGCUGUAGUCGGUUUAAUUUUAUUUUUAUUUCUACUUUGCUUCUCUUCUGGUUGCGCUUGUCGAGUUACAUCUGCUCAGAUAGCAUACACGAGAAUGCCCAAUAUCUGAAUAACGUAUCGAAACAAACAGUGAAUCUCUUGAUUAAAUUGACGGUAAACAUUGCUUGUUAUAUGCCUAUAUGUAUGGGAAAAAGUGAGAAUUUAUACCACUAGCUACAUUGGACUCCGCUAUAAGAAGUGCACUGUUUUCCCUAUACUUCUGUAUAAAACGAUCCAAUUUACCUGGUGAUAAAUUAUCCCUACUUUCUCCUAUUACUGUUAUUCCGUUAUUGGAAAGAAUAAUUUUUUUUAUACAUUCUUGUAGAACGCAAACUCACUUUUAAUACUGAAAUGUUAUUGUCGACAGGUCACUUAGAUAGGUACAAACGAAUGCUUACAAUUAAUGCGAUGUGCAGAGGGUUACUUUACAAUCGUGACGUCGAAGCGAGAUUUCUAUAGAUUGUAGUAUGUAAUUAUAAAACUAAGGCUUCCAAAGCUGAGGAGGUUAAGGUUUUUAAUUGAAACAUUUGAAAACUGCGUAUGAAUCAAAUGAUCUUUCAAUAUAUUAUUCAAAUAUUGUGUCAGUUGCCAGUCUUUACAACAGAUCGUGAAUUUUCCGUUCAAUCGGCGUCGGUUCCUAUGGACUGACGACGUGUAAAUUGGUGUACAUCUCAUGAUCUUCAUACCAGCACACUGAAAACGCCUUCACCCUCGACAUCCUAAAGUAAUUUUUUAGGAUAAUACAAGUUUCUCUAGAUACGUUCAUAUUUUCCGCGGCAGCUGUCACCAACACUUGAUCUUCAGAAUCGAGCGAGAUUAUUUCCGAUUUCGUUUAUAAAUAUGUAGCAUAAGACUGCAUGGGUCACUGAUUCAUUUAGAUAGAAUAAUCAUUUACUGGUCGAUGUACAAUAACCAGUAUUUUGACGUUAUUUUGAUUGUGGAGAUAUUAUACUAUAAAAAUUAGUUUUCCAGAUAUUCACUUGCUUUCCCACCUAUUGGGCUAAGAGAAUAACUAAUUCGUCCAUUAGCUUUGUCACAUAAUUUAUCUUUGAACCAUUUGAAAUAUCAGAAAUCUUAUUGUAUCAUAUUUUGCUUUUAUCAGUUUGAUAGUGCCUUCAGAUGAUCUGUGGUACGGAUCAAGAACUGAUGAUAUGAUUUUGCAAAGGCUUCAAGAUGGAAGGGAUUUACGAGUGCAAACUGCUGUUAUUAAGCCCAUUGGGGGGCGUGUGACACUUGGUAAUUCCUCUUUACUCUAGAAGUGGGUAAUAAGUUUAACUGUAAGCAAAAUAUUAAGGUGCAAUAAUUAUUUCAUGAGAAUUUCAUCCCUAACUCGAAUUCUGAAUCAGAAUAUGCUCUUGUAAUCUGAAAUUAAUUUUAUAGACAGAAAAUUGUCAAUACGAAAAUAAUUUAUAUGUGAUUUCUCAGCAAGACAAUAAUAAUCGUAGUUUUUUUAUAACUUGCGAAGUUACAACCACUUGAAUUAAUGUCGAAAAUUAAAUCCUACCCAUUUGACUCGUUCUGAUCUUGAUACCGGAUCGCAACUGUGCAUUUUUAGCGUAAAAUGUAGUCACGUGGUAUUAUUUGGACACUUGUCGUGCUUCGGUGUUUGCCUAAGUCUCAACGAUUCUUGUCCUGAGAGCCCCAGUCCAUUGUCUAACAAAAACAGCGCUAAGCCGAGGCAUUCUGGAGGAGAACUUGAACCUGCUCACUACAAAGGAUGGAGUUUUUUAUUUCGAAUACAAGGAUGCUCUAAUCAAACGAUCGUAGACUAAUCCAGAGAAGGAGACUGCAACAAUGAGGUUGUACUGGAGGAAAAAUUGCCACCUCUCCUUCAACUUGCAGAUUCGAUUCGCAAAAUCCUGAGUGGAAAAUGGUAAACCGAUUUCUGUGGGCUGUUCAUCCGGUAUCAGCACUUUCUGACGAGCAUCUCCUUACCUGCAACAGGAAAUGUGCUUACACCUGCCGGUUUAUAAUUUGCAAAAUAAUUAUCACACAUGCAUAGCGUCGAAUAAUUGAUGUAUGCGAAUAAGCCCUUAUGAAAUGUAUUCAUCAGUUGUAUUCAUUCGAAUUACUGGCACAACAUCGUAAUAUUGAAAUGAAAAUUAUUCAUCUUGUGAAUGAUAUUGCAAAGUUUUUAAUAAUUAUUUGAAUAAUGCUGAAUGUAUUCCACCUGCAUAACUCAUGAAUAAAUGACAAGCUAUUCUCAAA